GUGCUUGUUUCAGCAGCACAUAUACUAAAAUUGGAAUGAUACAGAGAAGAUUAGUAUGGCCCCUGAGCAAGGAUGACACACAAAUACUUGUAAUUAUUUACUUAUAU
rnacentral:snRNA from 1 species